GCUCAGUAAACAUUUGUUGACUGGGUGAAGGUGAGGAGAGGCCUGAACUGGGAAGUCUGACCCUCUGUUACUGAGGAGACUUGAGGUCUGGGGCUAACACCGCCGCCUCCAACUCCCCUGGCCCCAUUACACUCCAAUAUGGAUCAGAACUGUCCCAGAGUUUCAGGACCUGCCACAAGAUGUUUUCCUGCUCUGGGAGAUCUGACGGCUUGUUGUUCACUCAUCUAUUUCUAGGCUGGGGCUGGAGACCCCUCAUUCCUGAGGUGGGCACAUUCUCUGGAAGCUGUAGAGGCAGCAAGGCGGGCUGAAGCCGGCCCUGUUGUGGGUCUCCUCUCCCAGGCCCCUCCCUCCCAAGGCCUAACCUAGUCCUUCAGGUGAGAGAAACAACUUCGAGGCCUGCCCACGUUCCCCUCCUGGACAGAAGAGAGAUCCCAGGGGACAUUAUGGUGCAUGAAAGCAAAAUCAUUUGUCUUUAGCACAUUUGUCACUCUGGACAUUUCCUACAGUUAUUGCCUCCAAAAAAAAGUCUCUCCAACUUGCUUGGAGGUUUUCUGGGUUGGGGGAACUUCCAUUUCCAUGGAGAAUGGUUGUUUGAGAUUUUAUUUUUCUACAUCAACAUCUGAAUACCACUUUAGGAAAGCAGAGGGGUGGGGGAGCAUUCUUAAUAGAAGAGGCUUUGAAAAGCUGAAGCAGUUCAUGUUAUUUGACAUCAAGAGCAGAAUCAAAAAACACUGAGCUAGAGAUAGCUUGCACCUUCCUCUGUCCUCUACUUGUGGCCCUCAUCAUUUGGAGAACUAGAGGGUUUGGAGAACACAGAGGAGAGACAGGUGUCAUUUGUUCACUGAUAACUUCACUCAACCUUUCUUGUGCACCUACUAUGUGCCAGAUACUCUAUCAAAUGCUGGAGAUCAAUGGAUGGCUAAGAUUGAGCCCCUGGACAUAAAGACUUUACAGUACAGUGAGGGAGCCAGUGUGGUGACAUGGGCUACAAGAGGGAGAGGCAAGGACAGUAGCCCCUGUGCUAGCUAGCACUGUAGCAGCCAAGAGGGAGGAGCCUCUGUCCCUGCCUUGUAUAUCAGUGAGGCUUCACGGAAGAAGUUCUACCCAAAUGAGCUCAGAAAUAUAAGAGAAAAUGUGCCAACUGGAGAAAAGAGAGAAUUUGGUGUGGGGACUCCUUGGGGUGGCAGGGCUGAGCAGGGGUGGGCAGGUUGCCUUCUUCCUAAAGAAAAAGAUAAAAAAGUGCAAGCUCUACCCUGGGUCACUGCCCAGACAGCAGGUUUACUACCUGGGGGAUCUGGAGUGAGGUAUGGAAGGGGAUUGAAAGAGCCCACGCUGCCUAGGAGGAAAAAAAAAAUCUAGCCAAACUUCAUCAGCACCUCUGCAAGGUGGACCUACACAGGCCCCGUGCAGAUCCACGGCCUAUGUGCAUUAAUUCUCCAUGCCUACGCAUCAGCAUUGCGGUAGGCCUUUAUGUAUGUUACCUCCAAGUCUGAACAACAUCUCAAUGAGCAAUGGACUGUUAUCUCCAAUCUACAGAUGAGAAAUUAGAGGCCCAGAGAAGUACAUUAAAUUGCCCAGAACACACUACUACUAAGUGGAUGAAUCAGAUAAUUUAUUCAUUCAGUAAACAAACUAGAUUAUGCCUCAAGCUAUGUAGAGAAGAAAAAGAAAACGUUGAGUUGGUUCUAGUUGACAAGAAAUUCACAGUCUAGGAGAGGAAAACAGCAAUUAUACAGCAAUAUGGUCUUCUUGUGGUGUCACUUGGAGAGGACCUGUGGACACUUCUGGAGUCUGUCAGGAAAUAUCUUACCCUACAACCCAGGCCUACUGCAAAGAGGUGGAUUUUCUGUCCUGCUGUGACAAAUUCUAUAGGAAGGAUAACCGUGACCAAAUAAGUUAAGUGACCUUUGUUAGAAGUUCUUUCUGUAAUGAACACAACAUUGUAAUUCAACUAUACUUCAAUAAAAAAUAAACUAGGGCUUCCCUGGUGGCGCAGUUGUUGAGAGUCCACCUGCUGAUGCAGGGGACGCGGAUUCGUGCCCCAGUCCGGGAGGAUCCCACGUGCCGUGGAGUGGCUGGGCCCGUGAGCCAUGGCCGCUGAGCCUGCGCGUCCAGAGCCUGUGCUCCGCAACGGGAGAGGUCACAACACUGACAGGCCCGCGUACCACACACAAAAAAAAUAAUAACUAAUUUAAAAAAAAGAAGUGCUUUCUGAUAUGGGGCCUGGAAUCAUAGCACUAGGAGCUGGAAAUAACCUUUGUCCUUUUAUAGGUCAGAAAACUGAGUUGAGGAUAAGAGGGAAGUGACUUGCCAAAGGUAAGAGUCAAAUUUGACGUAGAACCAGGAUAAAAUCCAGUCUCUUGACUCUAAACCUGGUGCUGUCCCCCAUGCUGGUGUUCUCUCCAUUGCCACAAAGCCUAAACUACUGUUUAAUUAUCUUUUAAAUGAGCAUUGCUCUUUACCUUUUCUUUGCUAAAAUAUAACCACUUGAAGAACCAUAUUUUAUUUGUAGGUUUAGUGCCCACCACAUUGCCUAAUACGGUAAUAAUGUCCCUAGAAUAUUUCUACCCUUGAAUGUGUAUACAGAGGCCCCAUUGGGAGCUGAGAGUUGGUGGCUCAUUUUGAUUUAAAUGGGACCUCACGUUUAACAGGUCUUCCUGUCUAUUAUCUUGCCUGGUCCCUGUUCAAAUCCAGCUCUAUUUUCUGGGUUAUUUUUGCAUUCAUAAUCCUUGACAAGAAAAUCCUCCCAUCUAAUCUUUGCUUUAUUUCUUUGUUUCAGGAGAUUAUCUAGCAUGUCUAAUAGAGCGGCAAGUCACGUCCCGCGGCUCCAGGCCUACAAUUCCCCAGCAUACCAAAAUCAACCACAAGACUUUCCUCCGACCUCACCCAAGUCAGGGCAUAGGUGGGGCUGCUCUCUGCCCCUUGGGGAGGAGGAAUCUAUGACCAAAUGGGUAUGUUCUUUCUUGAUUUCUCCAGGGUUCCCCGGAGAGGUGGUAUUCCUGGAUGAUGGGGUACAGGGAGUCUGAGUUUAACUUUCAAUGAAACAAUGCAAACUCAGACCUAGGGAAGAAUUAUCCACCUGAGAGUUGCUGGAAUAUUGGUGAAAUAUCACUUCUUGCUAUUUAAUUCAUUCAUCUGGGAUUGAAAAGACAUCUCUUGGGGCUGAUUUAGGUCAGUGGUGUCCAACCUAUUUUAGUAUGGAGAGCGCAUUUUAAUUUCAAAAAAUUUAUAGACCUGCAGAUAAAGAUACUUACACUUUAGGAAUGCACUGGGAGAGCAAAUAUUAAUAAUAGAGGCUAUCACCUUAAAUGGGAUUUGAAUUAAUCACCACCUUAUCUAUAUACUAUCCCAAAUCUGAGUUGUUGCUUUCCUUCUGUGUUUCUGUAACUCUUUGUCCUCACCACUGGCCUGGAAACCCCACAAGGCCAUAGUUGAUUUGCCUAGUUCACUAUCUGUUGUAUACUCGGCGCCUAGCACAGUUCCUGGUACAAAGUAGGCACCUUAUGUAUAUUUGUAGAAUGAAUAAAUUAGUACAUUAGAAGUAUCAGAAUAGUUGACUAAACAGUAUGAUUCAUGUACAACUAUAGGUACUGAUUCACACAAAGAUGGUGCCCCUGUGGGGUCCCAGGGCCCACAGAUUGGAAAUCACGGGUUUAAAUUUCCACACUUGGAUCCAAUAUUUUCUUCCAUUUUCCCCCGAGGGAGCUUAGUGUUCAGCAGACCACAAAUACCAGUCUCUGAGCUUAGAGACACAUGAUAACUAAAGGUGGGAGCCUGCACCAGUUGACAUUCCAAAGGCCGAAUGGAAAGUCUAGGAAGAGGACAGAAUGCAUGACUUAAAGAAGGCUGGGACUUCCUAACACCCACGGCAAAGGGGAGGUUGAUGACAGCUUUCCUCAAAAGCCAGUUUCUAACAUUUGUAGGAGCAAAAAGUAAGCUAAUCUCCGGGAGCCUCUAGGCUGUGUAGUUGGUAUUUCAACCCCAAACAGACUUGAAAAGGUACUUUGCCUGUUUCCUCUGUCACCCUAUUUGUGUGGAAUGUUGAUAACUGAAGCGACACACAGUAAAUGUGUCUUGUAAGACAUUGAUUGGGAGUGGAGAUGAGUGGGGAAAUAUAAGAAUUGAAAGAAAGAAUGCUUGAUUUAAAAUAUGUGAAUGUGUCCCUGCCUCACUGAGUGUGUACAUUAGUAUUUAAUUGCUGACAUCUCUCUUCCUUCUCUAGACAAUGGGCUUCUUCUCUUGAUUCUCCCUGCUCCUUCCUCUCCAAACAAAGAGAGGAUGGUAUUCCAGGUGUGAACAAAUCAGGGCGGUUUCCUGCUUCAGAUUCAGAGAUUCACAGCCCUGAGGAAAUGAGUAAAAGAGAGGAGGGGAGAGAGCAAAAGAGAUGAAAAGCAGAAUCUUUGCCACCUGCUAUUUAGUGAUUAGCUCCCAGAUAAGGAAGGCAGAGAUGCAUUCCAGGAGCUCAGGACUUGCCCAGACGGAACUCAGAGUAAAGGAGGGCUUGGUGAAAACUGAAGCCAGAAAAAGGCAGUGGGGGGGGGGUGGGGGGUGGGGGGUGGGGGAGGGGCACUGAAAACACCAUCCAUUAAUUUUCCUCAAAGCCCCUCCAUGUCAUGCAGCUCUUAUAAAUUUAAGACCCUCACUUUACCCAUUUUUUUGUUCCACCCCAACUCACCUGCUUUGGUUUAUGUAAAGUAGUCUUGUAAAGUUCUGUCACGAACUAACGGUGUGACCCUGGGCAAAUCACUUACCUUCUUAGAUACAGGUCUAGUGGUUGCUGUCUCUCUCUUUUUUUUCUUAAUUGGGGUAUAGUUGUUUUACAAUGUUGUGUUAGUUUCUACUGUACAGCGAAGUAGAGUUCCCUGUGCUAUACAGCAGUUUCUCAUUAGUUAUCUAUUUUAUACAUAUUAUUGUAUAUAUGUUAAUUCCAGUCUCCCAAUUCAUCCCUCUUGAGUUUCAGUAGCUUCAUCCAAAGCAUAGGAAAAGAAAUCAACAAUCACAACCAAACAACCAAACCCCAAAUCUCCUAAUGCUGGGCAGUAGAAGCCCUGGCGAGUUUGCAGUGAGCAGCCUCUGUUCUUGUUCUUAGUUUCAAGCACACCAAGCUUUUGGAUUAAACCACAGUGAAAAGCAAGCACUUACUCAUUCCCUUACGGAGGAGCAGGCUGAUCCACUAUGAGGUUUUCCUUUCUCAGUAGAAAGGGGUGAAAAUAAUUUCUGCACAGCCUACCCUUCUGCCUGUGGCACCUGUGGCCACAGACACGACCCAGGUCUGAGCAGAGGUGCAGGAUGCUGUGUACUUGUCUGGGGUGCAUGGCCUCUUCCCUCACCAGCCUUUGCUGUUCCCUUUGUUCUUAUAACUGAGGGUGUUCUGUCCUUGACAACGGCCACGUGUUCAAUUUUUCCAGCACGGUUAGGUGAGGUCAGCACUUUGGCUUUUAGCCUCUAGAGCAGGUAAGAGCCAUUGAACCUUGAGAGAUACAAGAUCAAGUUAGUAAUUCAUCUUGAUUUUCAUUUUGCAGUGCUCCCAUAGAAAAUAAAUGUGGAGCCAUGGACAAUUAUGCUUUGGUAGAAAAUAAAUACUCUGGUGAUUAAAAACUGGAAAUCACUAGCUUUGAAAUUUCUUCAGAAAUGCAGCCCCAGAUGUCACGCAAGCUCCCAUCAAACACGGGCUGUUAAAAUCCAACUGUGGAUAUUGCCUUGUAAAGUGUUCACAGAUGCAACAGCAGAAGAAAUUCUCACAGCCUAGAGAAGCGAGACUUCUGCUUUUUUCCUUUCUUUCUGUCUUUUUUUCCGGCAGGGGAUGAUGGAGGGGUUGGGCAUCAAACUGUUCAUUUCAAUAUGUAAUUUGCCUCAAAGAAUUUUUGACUUAAUUUAUUUUCUCACCAACCUAAAUCCAAUUCAAAAAACAUUUAUUGAAACCUGAACAAUCUACUUUCCGUUGACGAGUGCUAAUAGGUGCAAUGUUACCCCUGUCAACUUAUAAGAUCACAUACUGAGCUUGGAGCUAAACAGGAAAACGGAAAUUAAACUGGAGUUGGAUUUUGUUUCCUUCUAAAUUCUCUACCAUAGUUGGACAUGUACGGUGCUUAAUGAGAAACAAGUUGCAUUGUGGGCAUUUCUUUAUUUAAAAAAAAGCUUCUUUCUUUUUAAUUUGGAAGAUGUUUACAUCUUAAUGCCAGAUGUAUCUCCAAGGCAGAGGGGGUAGAACUGUAUGAAAAAAAUAAAUGAUGUCAAAAAGUC